GAGACAACAGCUUGCCAGCCACUCAAGACCAAUGAGAAGAAAGCAGCGGACGCCACGGUGUCCGCAGACAGAGCUGGCUGCAUCAAAGGAAAAGGACGUAAACGCCACAGUCAUCGCCGGGUCAGGAGCCCCUCCUUUGAUGAGGAACUCUCUCCUCGGCCCAAGGGGAAGAAGAAGAAGAGAAAGUCCCAAAGGAAGAGGAAAAGGAAAAGGUCUCCUUCCCGCAGCCUCUCGCCACUGAGGAAGAAGAAAAAGAAGAAGAAGAAAAGCUCCAAGAAAAGCAAACGGCAUAGGUAUACCUCAAAAAAGUCAAAACACA